AGUGAACGCUGGCGGUAGGCCUAACACAUGCAAGUCGAACGGCAGCACAGUAAGAGCUUGCUCUUACGGGUGGCGAGUGGCGGACGGGUGAGGAAUACAUCGGAAUCUACUUUUUCGUGGGGGAUAACGUAGGGAAACUUACGCUAAUACCGCAUACGACCUACGGGUGAAAGCAGGGGAUCUUCGGACCUUGCGCGAUUGAAUGAGCCGAUGUCGGAUUAGCUAGUUGGCGGGGUAAAGGCCCACCAAGGCGACGAUCCGUAGCUGGUCUGAGAGGAUGAUCAGCCACACUGGAACUGAGACACGGUCCAGACUCCUACGGGAGGCAGCAGUGGGGAAUAUUGGACAAUGGGCGCAAGCCUGGUCCAGCCAUACCGCGUGGGUGAAGAAGGCCUUCGGGUUGUGAAGCCCUUUUGUUGGGAAAGAAAAGCAGCAGGUUAAUACCCCGCUGUUCUGACGGUACCCAAAGAAUAAGCACCGGCUAACUUCGUG
rnacentral:rRNA from 1 species